GACGAAGGUGGCGAGCGUUACUCGGAAUCACUAGGCGUAAAGCGCGUGUAGGCGGGUGCUUAAGUCCGUCGUGAAAUUUCCCGGCUCAACCGGGAAGGGUCGACGGAUACUGGGCAUCUUGAGUAUGGCAGGGGAAGCUGGAAUUCCCGGUGUAGCGGUGAAAUGCGUAGAGAUCGGGAGGAACACCGGUGGCGAAGGCGGCUCACUGGGCCGGUCCUGACGCUCAGGCGCGAAAGCGUGGGGAGCGAUCCGG
rnacentral:rRNA from 1 species